UGCCCACUGAUAAUUAUUAAAGGGCUGCAGUAAUUUGACUGUACAAAGGUAGCAUAAUCAUUAGUCAUUUAAUUGAUGACUUGUAUGAAAGAUUGAAUGAAAUAUAUACUGUCUUUAAAAUAUAUUAUAAAAUUUAAUUUUUUAAUUAAAAAGUUAAAAUAAAUAAAAAAGACGAGAAGACCCUAUAGAGUUUUAUUAAAAAUUAAGUUAUAAUUAUUUAUAAAAAUAAUAUUUAAAUUUACUUUUUAAUUUUAUUGGGGUGAUAGAAAAAUUUAAUAAACUUUUUUUAUAAAAUAAACAUGAAUAAGUGAUUAAUUGAUCCAUUAUUAAUGAUUAUAAGAAAAAAUUACCUUAGGGAUAACAGCGUAAUUUUUUUUUUUAGUUCGUAUAAAAAAAAGAGUUUGCGACCUCGAUGUUGGAUUAAGAUAAAAUUUAAAUGCAGAAGUUUAAAGUUUUUGA
rnacentral:rRNA from 1 species